rnacentral:rRNA from 1 species
AGUGAACGCUGGCGGUAGGCCUAACACAUGCAAGUCGAACGGCAGCACAGUAAGAGCUUGCUCUUACGGGUGGCGAGUGGCGGACGGGUGCGGAAUACAUCGGAAUCUACUUUUUCGUGGGGGCUAACGUAGGGAAACUUACGCUAUUACCGCAUACGACCUACGGGUGAAAGCAGGGGAUCUUCGGACCUUGCGCGAUUGUAUGAGCCGAUGUCGGAUUAGCUAGUUGGCGGGGUAAAGGCCCACCAAGGCGACGAUCCGUAGCUGGUCUGAGAGGAUGAUCAGCCACACUGGAACUGAGACACGGUCCAGACUCCUACGGGAGGCAGCAGUGGGGAAUAUUGGACAAUGGGCGAAAGCCUGAUCCAGCCAUGCCGCGUGGGUGAAGAAGGCCUUCGGAUUGUAAAGCACUUUUGGUGGGAAAGAAGAGCAGCAAGUUAAUACCCCGCUGUUCUGACGGUACCCAAAGAAUAAGCACCGGCUAACUUCGUG